UACGGAGGUGACGAGCGUUGUCCGGAAUUACUGGGCGUAAAGCGCACGCAAGCGGUCUGUCAAGUCUGACGUGAAAUCUCUUGGCUUAACUGGGAGCGGUCGUUGGAAACUGAGAGGCUUGAGGCGAUGAGAGGGGUGCAGAAUUCCGGGUGUAGAGGUGGAAUGCGUAGAGAUCAGGAGGAAUACCUGUGGCGAAAGCGGCACCCUGGCGUCGUUCUGACGCUCAGGUGCGAAAGCGUGGGGAGCGAACGGG
rnacentral:rRNA from 1 species